UGGCUUGAGCCACGCAGGGAAUACACGGGU
rnacentral:piRNA from 1 species